CAUUUUAACAGCACAAUAACAAAUAUGCACUUGAUGAACUGUUUAGGCUUAUUAUGUUGGCAUUAUUGACAAAUCAUAGACAAAAACGUGGCUGAACUUUAAAUUAAAAAAAAGUUUGACAGCCAUUUGACAGCCGCUCUAGAAGGGAAAUCGUAAAUUUAGAAACUAGAUGGAUGGUGUUAUUGUUUUAUUUAACCUGUGAUCUGAAUUCAUAUUAAUAUUUCAAUAGGAAUAGCGUCUGUGGCACAUUCAUAAAUAAGAUCGUGUGACGGGCGAUUUUAUUUUAACCUCGGCGACCGGCGACCGGCGACCACCAUACAAUUGAUACAAUCCGCGCGUUGUAAGCCUUUUCAACAUUGACACUAUAAUAUAAUCCGCAUCUAUAAUCGAUGAAGGCAAACCAGAUUCUGACAAUUCCAUCUUCAGCUUGGGACUGAGCAGCAGCAGCAGAGGGAGGCAGCAAACUGUAACAAAUAAAAACUAUAACUACCAUGAUUUUCAGCAAAUGUAAAUAAAUAUUUUUA